AGUGAACGCUGGCGGUAGGCCUAACACAUGCAAGUCGAACGGCAGCACAGUAAGAGCUUGCUCUUACGGGUGGCGAGUGGCGGACGGGUGAGGAAUACAUCGGAAUCUACUUUUUCGUGGGGGAUAACGUAGGGAAACUUACGUUAAUACCGCAUACGACCUACGGGUGAAAGCAGGGGAUCUUCGGCCCUUGCGCGAUGGAAUGACCCGAUGUCGGAUUAGCUAGUUGGCGGGGUAAAGGCCCACCAAGGCGACGAUCCGUAGCUGGUCUGAGAGGAUGAUCAGCCACACUGGAACUGAGACACGGUCCAGACUCCUACGGGAGGCAGCAGUGGGGAAUAUUGGACAAUGGGCGCAAGCCUGAUCCAGCCAUACCGCGUGGGUGAAGAAGGCCUUCGGGUUGUAAAGCCCUUUUGUUGGGAAAGAAAAGCAGCAGGUUAAUACCCCGCUGUUCUGACGGUACCCAAAGAAUAAGCACCGGCUAACUUCGUG
rnacentral:rRNA from 1 species